rnacentral:lncRNA from 1 species
AUCUCAAUUAUGAUUGUCUUGCAUUAGACUAUUAGUUGAUGAGUAAAUGAACUUUGAUUUAGCAAUUUGGUGUUUUUAUUAUUCUUGUGAAUAUUGUGGCCAGGUAUUUACAUGUUUAAGAUAUUAGGUGAUUGAAUGAGAACUGAGAUCUAGUAUUAGUUCAUAAGUUGCUAAACUUAGGAAAAUGAGGGUCAUAGAUGAUCCC